CAGCCCUGCCCGCGGCCGUCGGGGGCUCCGCGGUGCCUCCCCCGGGACCCUGCAGGCCCGCUCCCUCUCUCCCCAUCGCUCGUUCGGUUCCACUCCACACGGGCCUCCUCGCUGCUCCUGCCGGACGCCCGGUGCACUCGAGGCUCAGGCCCUUUGUACCCGCGGUGCCCUCCGUCUAGUACACUUCCCCAAAUGCCCCUUCAACUUGAUCCCGCACCCCCUUCGAGGCUCCGCCCAACUCCCCCCUUAUCACGUAGUAGCUGCUCAGUAACUUCUGGCUGAGUAAGUGCGACAGGCUCUCAGGUCACAGACCAAGACCCGCAGCCCCAGAGAGAGGCCACCUGCAGGACCCAGGCCACGCAGCUGCGCGGAGUGCCAGCAGGGGGAGGGGCCGGGGGAGGGGCCGCUGGGUUCAGGUCUCAGGCUGCCGCCAGGGGUGAGACCCUCAGGAUCGGGCCUCCCUCUGCACUGACCUAACGCGAGGUCACCCAAUGGAGCACCAGCCCAGGCCCGCACACAGCUCCCCCCUGCUUUCUGGAGCGGCCACAAUGACAAUGGAGAGCAUGGCCAGCCCCUGAGAAGGGCCCGCCUGGCCCCGUGCGUGACCGCGGGCAGCGCCCACCCUCGCACUCUGACAGCCGCUGGCAGCCACCUUCAUUGUCCCACUUUUAAACAUCGUGGCAAAAUUCACAUAACAUAAAACUGACCGCUGGGCUUCUUAAAGUGUACGAUUCAGGGGUUUCUCGUACAUUCACAAGGUUGUGCAACCAUCACCUCUAUCAACUUCCAGAACAUUCUGACUCCAAAAAGAAAUCCGCCCCCAUUAGCAGUCACCCCCCUCCUCAGCCCCAGGUUCCUCGAUGGGACCACAUAAUCAGCCUGCAGGCCAAGUCCCCCGUGGACGAGGAAUGCGUCACCAAGAUGACGGAGGGGAUCCUGAGGUCCCAGGUCUGGACUCAGCUGCGUGGCUCCUGGCUCCCGUGAGCUGCGGUCCCUCGUCUGUGAAGUGGAGACAACGGGAAAUAGUCUGGAGUUUCCUCAAAAGUUAUGAGUUGUCACGUGACCCAACACUUCCACUCGGAGGCCCCGAAGCAUUGAACACAUACCUUGAGACAAACCCUUGUGCGCCUGUGUUUGCUGCAGCAGGUGUCCAGGAGAACCCGGGCGUCCAUCAGUACGGACCAUCAAACGCAGAGGCCCACGGACGGGCCUGGUCUCCAUCCGACGGGUCCCUGGGCGCACAGAGCUGCUGCUCUCCCCUUCGUUUCUUUCCUCUUUGUCUGUUCUUGGACCCUGUCUUGAAUCGGUGUGGCUGAGCCCCGGGCAGUUUUCCAUGUGCGUGUGUCCCUGGGAUACCGUGACCACAGCCGACAGACUGUGAAAUGUGUCUUAGAAUAAAAGCGCUCACAGUGUGCAGAAAGGUGCCAGACGCAGAGUGGCCCGCCGGCCCAGGGUCCUCUGUCCAGAACCGGCAUCUGACUUGACACAGAACCUUCCAGAGAAGAUGGUAGAUCACGAGCUCGGGCCCCCGCCCCAGAGCCCCGCUCCGACCAGGCCACCGCCUGCCCUUCCCCGCGGACACCUGCCCAUGAGCCCUCGCGUGACCACCUGCGUAUGGUGGCAGGCGAUGCCCUGACCCGGGCUGGCGGAUGGGGGAAACCGAGGCUCAGGAGCUCACAGAGCCAGCCGGCUGCCGGGUCCCAGGCCGCCUUAUUAGGGUGAAACCAAGGCCUUGGUUGCUUUGUUUUUAGGGACAGAAGGUAUGUGUACGUUCUGUAAGAACCUUCAAGUAGGAGUCGGCAAACAGAAUGUGUGGCUGGAGCUUGUCUGGGGUUCCUGACCCCCGCCUGGGCUCUCCGAGGGGCGGUGCCGGCCGCGGGACACGCCCCAGGGCUUCAAGGAACAAGCAGGGGCUGGCAGGGCCGCGUCCAGGGUCACCCAACAGCCAUGGUCGGGCAGCAGAGGCCUGGGUGCCCCUGGUUCCAGAAACACCCCUUGGCAGCCUGCCCCUGGCCCGGGGACCCCAACAACCGUGUGGCUGUCACCUAGAGUCUGGGGGAAGGUGGGGACCCCAAUCUGCCUGUACUCCUUUCCCCUAGAUGAGGCCUCUUGUCCCUCUGCUGCCCAGGGGAAGAAGGGAAAGGGCGGUCUCUCCGGGCCUCAGUUUACC